AUCUGAGUUUGUAAGUCUGGGUAUAAUAAUGCAGAGGGGUGUGAUGUGCCAUUUGAUUCAUUCUGAGAAUAUAAAUAGUUCUGAAACAUGUCUUGCUCUGUGACAUAAACAUUAGCAGACGGAAAAAGGGAAAUAUUUUGUACUUUAAAUGAUUGGAAACAGCUAAAAUGUAUCAGAGAACUUGCAAUGUACUUACAAUGUGAGGAUCCAAGGUUGUUUU